rnacentral:rRNA from 1 species
GCAAGUCGACGAAGUAGCAAUACUUAGUGGCAAACGGGUGAGUAAUAUGUGGGAAUCUGCCUUUUGGCCUGGAAUAACACGAGGAAACUUGUGCUAAUACUGGAUAAGCCUUUACAGGGAAAGCUUUAUGCACCGAUAGAUGAGCCCGCACUUGAUUAGUUUGUUGGUGAGGUAAUGGCUCACCAAGACUAUGAUCAAUAGCUGAUUUGAGAGGAUGAUCAGCCACAUUGGGACUGAGACACGGCCCAAACUCCUACGGGAGGCAGCAGUGGGGAAUCUUGCACAAUGGGGGAAACCCUGAUGCAGCGAUGCCGCGUGAGUGAAGAAGGCCUUUGGGUUGUAAAGCUCUUUCGUCGGGGAAGAAAAUGACUGUACCCGAAUAAGAAGGUCCGGCUAACUUCGUGCCAGCAGCCGCGGUAAUACGAAGGGACCUAGCGUAGUUCGGAAUUACUGGGCUUAAAGAGUUCGUAGGUGGUUGAAAAAGUUGGUGGUGAAAUCCCAGAGCUUAACUCUGGAACUGCCAUCAAAACUUUUCAGCUAGAGUAUGAUAGAGGAAAGCAGAAUUUCUAGUGUAGAGGUGAAAUUCGUAGAUAUUAGAAAGAAUACCAAUUGCGAAGGCAGCUUUCUGGAUCAUUACUGACACUGAGGAACGAAAGCAUGGGUAGCGAAGAGGAUUAGAUACCCUCGUAGUCCGUGCCGUAACGAUGUGUGUUAGACGUUGGAAAUUUAUUUUCAGUGUCGCAGCGAAAGCGAUAAACACACCGCCUGGGGAGUACGACCGCAAGGUUAAAACUCAAAUGAAUUGACGGGGACCCGCACAAGUAG